rnacentral:lncRNA from 1 species
UAAGUAGCUUCCCUUUAUUCUUUGAUACUUUAAGCACAUCUUUUUUAGCCUUUCUAAUGUUUAAUGAUGCAUAACUGCUAUGCUACAUCUGAAAUAAACAGCCAAUAUAUGCUAAUACUCUUUUCUUUGUAUUCCUUGGGAAUCAUUGCCAAAGCGCACAGCUGUAUGAUUUGAUGAAACUUGUCCAUAUUUCUGCUUAAGAUAAUUCUCACAUGCAGUCAUUUCAUUAUGGGGUGUGGGUGCAACAGUAAUAUUAAGCUUUUCAGUUUUCAAUUGUUUAAGAGAACAGCCAUAUGACUUUCAAAUUUAAGGAUUCGUCCUAAUUUUGAGAAUUUCCCCUCCCUAGUAAGUUAGAGAAAUUUAAGCUAACAAUUCAUCUAGUGUUGUUUUGGAGAAUCAGAUAUUCUUUCCUAUUUAUGAGUGGAUGUGCAUGAAAUAUUUUGUCUGCUCGUGUUGAGGUUCCAAGAGGUACAAUGUUUGUGCAGUUACGGGUUUGCAUAAAGCGGAACUGAAAAGAGAGAUUUGUCUAUGUUAAUAACCUUAACCUUUCUAAGUAAAAGAUAAAUGUAUUACGACUUUCUGUUUGUCAGUGCUUUUUAAAAUUUGAACACCCUAAACAUUUGGAGCAGAUGUUGGAUUAAGACUACUGAAGAAAAGAAUCAACUUGCAAUGAUAAAGCUCUUUAGUGCACUGAACAAUUACAUAAAGCUUCUUAUCCACUUAAAUCAUUUAGCCGGUUUUCUUUUCCUUUCUCCACUUAUAUUGUGUGCUAAGGUGGAUGUUAGAAACUAGAAUGAUUUCCCUGCACCCAACCCCCAAAGAGAAGCCACUGAAAGAGGAUGAGAGGCCCAGAGUGGGUCCAGGAGAAUGAUAAACAUCCAAUCUGCAGGCAUUAGGUAUUUUUCAGAAGCUCCAAGUUCUGCUUAUUUGUAGGAUUUUACGCAAUUUAAAAUGAACCACCUUGCUAACUUUUCUUAGGAUUGAAGGUGUUUUGAUGAAGGCUCAUUUCAUAUGCUGUUAUUCUUUUGCUGUGAUCAUACACUCAUUUCAAACAAACGUCUUCUGUUGCUAACUUGCUGCAUGUGCUGUUCCUUAAGGAAGUCUUAGGAAUUAAAGUCUUCAACUAUUUAUGAAAUAUGUUUUGUUUAUUGAGGACAGUUUACUAAUUUCAUGGCUAGUUGUUCUGGUCUUUCUCAUGUGUGCCAGACUGAGGAGUCAGCUCGGUGGGGUAAACAGUAUUUAAUCCCAGUCAGAAGUAUCUAUAUAGACCUCUUUUUUCGUUUGCCAAUGUAAAUCCAGUUGUCUAAAAACUUGUAUCUUACCAGUUCCACACUUAUGACUGAGGAGUUAGCUCAAUGGGGUAAACAGUAUUUAAUCCCAGUCAGAAGUAUCUAUAUAGACCCCUUUUUUCGUUUGCCAGUGUAAAUCUAGUUGUCUAAAAGCUUGUAUCUUACCAGUCCCACUCUUAUGACUGCAGUUCCAAUCAUAUAUCAAGUUUACC